UGCGAAAGUUAUUGGAAGCCAAAGGAGACGGAGGAAAAGAUUUAUUAAUCAAUGGAAUCUUUAAAUUUCAUUAAUUAACAUGAAAUUGUUUCAUUUAAUUGUGCCAUGAAAAUUACUGGAGGAAAAUCAAAGCAAAAAGAAAGAAACGGAAUUGCCUUUGAGGUUACCAAAGUUUCAAAUGAAUAAUCAUGCUAUUGAAGAUGAAACGGGAAAAGAAUUUCAAUCAGACUGAAUUGGUUCCGUUUUGGUGACGAAGGUGACAUUUAUUGUUGGACCAGACAAGGUUGAAGGAUACGCCAAGAAGUGGCCAAAAGGAAACUUCUAACAUGAUAUUCAUAAUUAGCUAAUUCCAGUUUACUGAGUGGUUCAUCGUCUAUGCAAAAGUGUGGAGAAGAGUGCAUUAGAAGAGAAGAAGAGAAAAAAUCCGGUAAUUCUAAUUGUUGGUGUUUCAAUUUUUCUGUGGGUCAACUUGGAUAUGCUGUCGCUAGUAAAUCUUCUGAGAAAAUAUUCAAUUGAGUUUAAAUUCUCCAGUCGAACAAUGAUGGAAUGGAAUCAGUUAUUUUUCAUGGAUUCAUUAAGUGAUUUGGAAGUGAUAUUCAAUUUACCUUCGCAUUUAUGAGUUAAAGCGAUGAAACAAUUGGAUAAUUAAAAUUGUCAAGCUUGAAUUUGCAUAUUUUUGUGAUAAAAAUUUGAUUUAUUCAACAAUAACAAUGAGCUAAUUGCUUCUACAAAAUCUUCAUUAUCAAGUUGAUGAAAUAAUGAAAGCUAUUUUAAUGAAUUCAUCACCAUGCCACAACAAAAGGUCGCUACCAAAUAUUUCUCGUUCGACUGGAUGGCGUUUGCCUGUAAUUGAUACCCCCUGCCAUUAAGAAGUUGUACGAAAAAAACCUCCACAGCUUAGCUGAUAAAUGCUUGCUAGUAUUUCCAAUA